rnacentral:rRNA from 1 species
ACUAGAGUGAUGUAGGGGAGACUGGAAUUCCUGGUGUAGCGGUGAAAUGCGCAGAUAUCAGGAGGAACACCGAUGGCGAAGGCAGGUCUCUGGGCAUUAACUGACGCUGAGGAGCGAAAGCAUGGGGAGCGAACAGGAUUAGAUACCCUGGUAGUCCAUGCCGUAAACGUUGGGCACUAGGUGUGGGGGACAUUCCACGUUUUCCGCGCCGUAGCUAACGCAUUAAGUGCCCCGCCUGGGGAGUACGGCCGCAAGGCUAAAACUCAAAGGAAUUGACGGGGGCCCGCACAAGCGGCGGAGCAUGCGGAUUAAUUCGAUGCAACGCGAAGAACCUUACCAAGGCUUGACAUGAACCGGAAAUACCUGGAAACAGGUGCCCCGCUUGCGGUCGGUUUACAGGUGGUGCAUGGUUGUCGUCAGCUCGUGUCGUGAGAUGUUGGGUUAAGUCCCGCAACGAGCGCAACCCUCGUUCUAUGUUGCCAGCGCGUUAUGGCGGGGACUCAUAGGAGACUGCCGGGGUCAACUCGGAGGAAGGUGGGGACGACGUCAAAUCAUCAUGCCCCUUAUGUCUUGGGCUUCACGCAUGCUACAAUGGCCGGUACAAAGGGUUGCGAUACUGUGAGGUGGAGCUAAUCCCAAAAAGCCGGUCUCAGUUCGGAUUGGGGUCUGCAACUCGACCCCAUGAAGUCGGAGUCGCUAGUAAUCGCAGAUCAGCAACGCUGCGGUGAAUACGUUCCCGGGCCUUGUACACACCGCCCGUCAAGUCACGAAAGUUGGUAACACCCGAAGCCGGUGGCCUA